AUUGAACGCUGGCGGCAUGCUUUACACAUGCAAGUCGAACGGUAACAGGCCGCAAGGUGCUGACGAGUGGCGAACGGGUGAGUAAUGCAUCGGAACGUGCCCGGUCGUGGGGGAUAACACUUCGAAAGAAGUGCUAAUACCGCAUACGAUCUGAGGAUGAAAGCGGGGGACCGUAAGGCCUCGCGCGAUCGGAGCGGCCGAUGUCAGAUUAGGUAGUUGGUGGGGUAAAGGCUCACCAAGCCAACGAUCUGUAGCUGGUCUGAGAGGACGACCAGCCACACUGGGACUGAGACACGGCCCAGACUCCUACGGGAGGCGGCAGUGGGGAAUUUUGGACAAUGGGCGCAAGCCUGAUCCAGCAAUGCCGCGUGCAGGAAGAAGGCCUUCGGGUUGUAAACUGCUUUUGUACGGAACGAAACGGUCCGGGUUAAUACCCUGGGCUAAUGACGGUACCGUAGAAUAAGCACCGGCUAACUACGUGCCAGCCGCCGCAGUAA
rnacentral:rRNA from 1 species